UUUACAUAGGAAUAUGUAGAGUAAAUCUUUAUAAAUCUUCUUCUCAGACACUAAUCAGCCAGAUGAUUCUAUAUAAAUGUUAAGACUUUGGCCCCAGGACAAUUCUUCGGCUCACAAGAAGGUUCAGAGUUUGAUGUAGGUUUAUAUCCCAUAUAUAAACAAUUGUUAAGGAUGUUUUUGAGAACUGCAAUACUCAACAUGUGAUAUGACUAUAAAAUCAUCCUGUUAGAAAAGGGACUAAUGAUUAUAUACAUAAGAAUAUGCAGGGGGAAAAUAGAUUAUAUUUUUACAGGAUCUACAUGUAUUGUUGUACAUUGUCCAGAUAGUUUGUAUUAUGACUCCAUUAAGCUGAUUUUAUCAUACCUAUUGUUCCUCAGGUGAGCGAUGUGGCCCAUGGGCCUCUUGUUUUAAAUUCUGAAUGGAAUCCAUUCUUAUUGAAAAAUCUUAUUCAAUUUUUUUCAUCCUUAAGGUCAGACGACACGUUCCUCAAUUUUAGAUAACUUUUUCCAGGAAUUUGUUAAUGGUUUACAACUACUUUGACAAGCUUUCUUGCAAAAAAUUAGGGUACCUUACCAGGCAUUUCUGCGAAAUACCAGAAUAUGCAAUUUCCUAUAUAAUCUUCUUGAAAAUACACUUGAAUUGCUGAUAUGAAAAUAAAUACAUCUACACCACAGCUAAAUUCUCUAAAAUAGAACUGUAUCUCGGGCGGGGCGGGGCUUUGAACUCACGACCUCUAGAACCUCUACGCUUCUGGCAGAGAGCGGCCACGGUUCUAACCACUCGACCAUCUAGGCAUCUAACCAAAUACAAGUAUAUUUUGAUCAUUUUUUAAGUAAUUAUAAAAUUAAAAAUUUUUGUUGGAACUCUUUAUUACGAGGAGAUACAAAAAAGAUUCUCGAGGAACGUGUCGUCUGACCUUAAGUACAUAAUAACAGACACAUUUAUUCAAAUUGUCCAUGUAUUUGAUUUGUUAAAGUUAAUAAGAAGCAGUCAAUUCAUUUGAUCUCACUGUAAUUCCACAUUCAUUUCAGUACUUGCUGAGAGAGAGAGAGAGAGUCUCAUACUCGGAUGAGCACAGCGUAGAUAUAAAUCAAAAUCCCGGACUUGUGUUUCAUACACAAUGAUGUAUAAGUGGCUCAUCUUACAUCAAAUGGAAUGGAUCCAUGCCAGGAUUCACUUUUCCUUCCCAUGCUGGUUCCAGUCCAGUAAACUGUCACAGUCUGGGAAAUUCUGUCACUGGUGAUGCCGCAGAAAGAAAACACUAUGGGUAUGUAAUAUGAUCUUUAUUAGCAAUUACCGCCACAUAUAGAAUAGUAAACGAAUAGUACAAUUCACAGAGCAAUAAAGCAUGUCUUGUGUCUUCCAAGACAGGCAAAGGAAGGGCAAUGUAUAUGUCAUCGUGCGUGUAAGCAAGUUCAGGCGGUAACCAGGCAAUUUGUACCAACUAUCACCAGGACCACCACACUCCUCCCCAUUUUAAAAGAGGGCAUCC